GCUGGGCGUGGUGGCGCAUGCCUGUAGUUCCAGCUACUUGGGAGGCUGAGGCAGGAGAAUCACUUGAACCAGGCAGUCGGAGGUUGCAGUGAGCUGAGAUCACGCCACUGCACUCCAGCCUGGCAACAGAGUGAGACUCUGUCUCAA
rnacentral:SRP_RNA from 1 species